rnacentral:lncRNA from 1 species
GAUUUCUCACCCAGGGUGCAGCAUGGUCACCUCCGAAGAUUUGUCUGCUAGUGUUGUCUGGCUUUGAUAUCCACUCCCUCCUAGCAUGGGCUCUGGGGCCUGGGCUUGGUUGGGGUUGACCAUCAUAAGCUACUGCUUGCUGACCCUAGCUAAAUUUCCCUGGCUUCAUAAAACCCUCACUGAUUUCAUUUGGGGGAGCUGUCUUGGCAGGAGAACAAUGGAUGCCCAAAGGGAUUGGGCCUAUCAAUCAGAAAUUGAACUUGGUUUGCUCAACUACCCACCUGGUGCUAUGGCCAAGUAUAAGAAGGGAACAAGGGCUCUAGAACAUCAAAAUAUCUGUGUGAGCACAUGGGGAGAAGGUGCUGCCAUGAACAUAGAAGCUUGGUUCUGAAGAUCAACUUGGGUUGGUGUCUGAAGUCUCUGCUUUGCUCAGCUACACACAGAGUCUUCAUUGGUGGAAAUCAUUGGUCCUGUUUGCUUUUCUUUUUCUUUC